rnacentral:rRNA from 1 species
AACGUAGGGAAACUUACGCUAAUACCGCAUACGACCUACGGGUGAAAGCAGGGGAGUCUUUCGGGACCUUGCGCGAUUGAAUGAGCCGAUGUCGGAUUAGCUAGUUGGCGGGGUAAAUGCCCACCAAGGCGACGAUCCGUAGCUGGUCUGAGAGGAUGAUCAGCCAUACUGGAACUGAGACACGGUCCAGACUCCUACGGGAGGCAGCAGCC